rnacentral:tRNA from 1 species
GGAGAGCGAGCCUAGCCGGGUUGGGCGCCAGACUCAUAAUCUGGAGGUCGCGGGUUCAAAUCCCGCCCCCGGCACCA